rnacentral:sRNA from 1 species
UUUAGUUUGUACUUCUAUUUUGUUACUCACGCGUUUCUUGUUUUCUUCUUUUCUGU